rnacentral:rRNA from 1 species
AGAGUUUGAUCCUGGCUCAGGAUAAACGCUGGCGGCGCACAUAAGACAUGCAAGUCGAACGAACUUAAUCGAUUCUUUAGUUCGAAGCGGUUAGUGGCGGACUGGUGAGUAACACGUAAGCAACCUGCCUAUUAGAGGGGAAUAACAGUGAGAAAUCAUUGCUAAUACCGCAUAAGCUAACAAUAUCGCAUGAUAUAGUUAGAAAAGGAGUAAUCCGCUAAUAGAUGGGCUCGCGUCUGAUUAGCUAGUUGGUGAGGUAACGGCUUACCAAGGCGACGAUCAGUAGCCGAACUGAGAGGUUGAACGGCCACAUUGGGACUGAGAUACGGCCCAGACUCCUACGGGAGGCAGCAGUCGGGAAUAUUGCGCAAUGGAGGAAACUCUGACGCAGUGACGCCGCGUAUAGGAAGAAGGUUUUCGGAUUGUAAACUAUUGUCGUUAGGGAAGAUACAAGACAGUACCUAAGGAGGAAGCUCCGGCUAACUAUGUGCCAGCCGCCGC